UAUGAGCUCACUGGGCAGUGACAAGGCCCGGGGCCCUCGGGAAAAAGUGUUGCCUGUUGUUUCUCACACAUCUCAACAACCACAGAAACAGGUACAGGCUACAGCUGAGCAGAUCCGGCUUGCCCAGAUGAUCUAUGACAAGAAUGAUGGUGACUUUGAGGACAAAGUUAACCAGCUGAUGGAGGUGACUGGAAAGAAUCAAGAUGAGUGCAUGGUCGCACUCCAUGAUUGCAACGAGGAUGUUAGUAGAG